AUGCCUAAUCCCUUCAUAAACACCCUUGUGCAAACUCCCAUUCCCUUGCCCAAGUGUUUACCAAACAGGCUGUCAAAGGAAGAUAGAGGGGGGAAUAAUGAGGGCGGAAGCGGGCCCCCAUCGCUACCAAUUCCAACCAAGGGAAUGAGCGCCUCCAUGAAGGAGGAUAGCCAAGGGGAAGAAUAUGACCUUCUCUCGCUCCGGGGAAGGAAGAGGACUGCCUCUGAAGAUCCGGAAACCAAGGCUUCCAAACGGGAGAAGAAGUCUCCGCCAGAGGGUCCUGCCUCGGAGGGCGCCUUUGCCGAACGAAGUCCGCGCGGGGAUCAGCCCUCUAACGAGCCGUAA
rnacentral:rRNA from 1 species